rnacentral:rRNA from 1 species
CCUACGGGUGACUGCAGUCGAGAAUCAUUCACAAUGGGGGAAACCCUGAUGGUGCGACGCCGCGUGGGGGAAUGAAGGUCUUCGGAUUGUAAACCCCUGUCAUGUGGGAGCAAAUUAAAAAGAUAGUACCCCAAGAGGAAGAGACGGCUAACUCUGUGCCAGCAGCCGCGGUAAUACAGAGGUCUCAAGCGUUGUUCGGAAUCACUGGGCGUAAAGCGUGCGUAGGCUGUUUCGUAAGUCGUGUGUGAAAGGCGCGGGCUCAACCCGCGGACGGCACAUGAUACUGCGAGACUAGAGUAAUGGAGGGGGAACCGGAAUUCUCGGUGUAGCAGUGAAAUGCGUAGAUAUCGAGAGGAACACUCGUGGCGAAGGCGGGUUCCUGGACAUUAACUGACGCUGAGGCACGAAGGCCAGGGGAGCGAAAGGGAUUAGAUACCCGAGUAGUC